rnacentral:lncRNA from 1 species
UUUGAUGAAUAGUGUAAUAUUUUAUCUCUGUUGAUAGGGUUAGAAAUAGCAUGUACUAUGUGAAAUUGUAAAAUAAUCAGUCGAAGUAUUCACAAAUUAAUCCUUCAAACACCACGAUUAUAAAAAUAAUAAUAUGAAUAAUUGUAUUAUAAUAUUUGUCACUUUACUAUGGUACAUUGGAAUUGAUGAGUCAUUUGCUGAGGCAAAAGAUUGGGACCAUUUUGUCAUUAAUAGCAAAGUUUUUGUAGGACUCUCACAAAACUUAAAUGGAAUAUAUUUAUAUAAAAAGAAAAUAAUUAAUUAAUUGAAGGAUAUUUAAUUGUAAAGAAAAGAAUGGAGUAUUGAAGUAGUCUACAAGGCUAUAUUCUUUUCUUUAUGAAAAUUCAAGAAUAAGUCUAGAUUCUAGAAUCAUGAUGUUUUUUACUAUUCCAAAAAAAACAA